UGUGUCAGAAAAUUCUAGGGAUUUCCUAUUUUAUGGGGGAGACUACCCUCCGAGGGGGAAACACUCCCCCUGAUACGCUCUAUAGGCAAAACAGGGGUCUUUGGGGACUUGCGCUUUUUUUUGCCCCCUAAUUAAAAAAAACCUAUUUUCUGGGUGUAAUGGCUUCACAGGGCGACGAUCUGUACCGGCUCUGAGAGGGAGGGUCCGCCACAUGGGAUCUCAGACACGGCCCGGAUCCUCUCCCGAGCCGCCUUUUUGGGGAAAUUUUUUUUCAAUGGGCAAAAGCCUGAUGGACCCCACCCCCGCGUGUGUGAAGAAGGCUUUGUGGUCACAAAGCUCUUUAAGCGGCGAAGAAGACUCUUCUUUUAAUACCCGGAGACGAUGACAUUAGCUGCAGAAUAAGCCCCGGCUAUCUCUGUCCCAGCAGCCGCGGUAAUACAGAGGGUGCAAGCGUUAAUCGGAAUUACUGGGCGUAAAGCGAGCGUAGGUGGCUUGAUAAGUCAGAUGUGAAAUCCCCGGGCUUAACCUGGGAACUGCAUCUGAUACUGUUAGGCUAGAGUAGGUGAGAGGAAGGUAGAAUUCCAGGUGUAGCGGUGAAAUGCGUAGAGAUCUGGAGGAAUACCGAUGGCGAAGGCACCCUUCUGGCAUCAUACUGACACUGAGGCUCGAAAGCGUGGGUAGCAAACAGG
rnacentral:rRNA from 1 species